rnacentral:lncRNA from 1 species
AGUGCUGGUUUUUGGAUAUGAAUUUGUCAUUAAGACUACCUGGGCUGACUCUCUUUUCGGACUCAGCCCACCUGCACCCAGGUGAAAUAAACAGCUUUAUUGCUCACACAAAGCCUGUUUGGUGGUCUCUUCACAUGGACGCGCAUGAAAUUUGGUGCCGUGACUCGGAUCGGGGGACCUCCCUUGGGAGAUCAAUCCCCUGUCCUCCUGCUCUUUGCUCCGUGAGAAACAUCCACCUAUGGCCUCAGGUCCUCAGACCGACCAGCCCAAGAAACAUCUCACCAAUUUCAAAUCCGGCAUUGGGCUCUCACCAUUGGCCAAGAUUCCCUGCCCCGGUGAGGCCGGAAGCAGUUCAGACACCUGACUUCUGGCAACAUGUGAGCCUGACCCAAGCAGAUCACUGGUGACCAGUAAAUAUUGAAGCUCCAAGGUUCUUCCUUUAACAUACUGAAUUAAUGAGCCCCCUAGGGGCAUCCCCUAAAAUGACUGAGAUUUAAUUUCUCUCUAGCCUGAAUAAAGACUUAGAGCAGAUUAAAUUUGAUUUAGAGGAAGAAAAAA